AAUGGGUCUCAAAAUUCUGUGACAAAUUUUUGGUCAAGUUGUUUCCAGUAAAAAGUACUGAUUUUAAAAACUAAUAACUUAAAACUGCCACAUGCAAAGAAAGAAAACCAAAGUGGUCCACAAAACAUUCUCCUUUCCUUCUGAAGGUUUUAUGAUGCAUUGUUAUCAUUAACCAGUCUUUUACUACUAAACUUCAAUGGCCAAUUGAAACAAACAGUUCUGAGACCAUUCUUCCACCACUGAUUAACAGUGGGGUGGCAGGUAGUAGGGAUAAUAUUUAUUUAGCCUUCUGAGCUUUCUGGGCAGACUUGGUGACCUUGCCAGCUCCAGCAGCCUUCUUGUCCACUGCUUUGAUGACACCCACCGCAACUGUCUGUCUGAUAUCAUGAACAGCAAAGCGACCCAAAGGUGGAUAGUCUGAGAAGCUCUCAACAUACACGGGCUUGCCAGGAACCAUAUCAACAAUGGCAGCAUCACCAGACUUCAAGAAUUUAGGGCCAUCUUCCAGCUUUUUACCAGAAUGGCGAUCAGUCUUUUCCUUCAGCUCAGCAAACUUGCAUGCAAUGUGAGCCGUGUGGCAAUCCAAUACAGGGGCAUAGCCAGCACUUAUUUGGCCUGGAUGGUUCAGGAUAAUCACCUGAGCAGUGAAGCCAGCUGCUUCCAUUGGUGGGUCCUUUUUGCUGUCACCAGCAACGUUGCCACGACGAACAUCCUUGACAGACACAUUCUUGACAUUGAAGCCCACAUUGUCCCCAGGAAGAACUUCACUCAAAGCUUCAUGGUGCAUUUCAACAGAUUUUACUUCUGUUGCAACGUUGACUGGAGCAAAGGUGACCACCAUACCAGGUUUGAGAACACCAGUCUCCACUCAGCCAACAGGAACAGUACCAAUACCACCAAUUUUGUAGACAUCCUGGAGAGGCAGGCACAAGGGCUUGUCAGUUGGACGAGUUGGUGGUAGGAUGCAGUCAAGAGCCUCAAGCAGCGUGGUUCCACUGGCAUUGCCAUCCUUACGGGUGACUUUCCAUCCCUUGAACCAAGGCAUGUUAGCACUUGGCUCCAGCGUGUUGUCACCAUUCCAACCAGAAACUGGCACAAAUGCUACUGUGUCGGUGUUGUGGCCAAUUUUCUUAAUGUAAGUGCUGACUUCCUUAACAAUUUCCUCAUAUCUCUUAUGGCUGUAGGGUGGCUCAGUGGAAUCCAUUUUGUUAACACCAACAAUUAGUUGUUUCACACCCAGUGUGUAAGCCAGAAGGGCGUGCUCUCGGGUCUGCCCAUUCUUGGAGAUACCAGCUUCAAAUUCACCAAAACCAGCAGCAACAAUCAAGACAGCACAGUCAGCCUGAGAUGUCCCUGUAUAUCAAUGGUGAUACCAUGUUCACGCUCAGCUUUCAGUUUAUCCAAGACCCAGGCAUACUUGAAGGAGCACUUUCCCAUCUCAGCAGCCUCCUUCUCAAAUUUUUCGAUGGUUCUUUUGUCGACGCCACCGCAUUUGUAGAUCAGAUGGCCAGUAGUGGUGGACUUGCCCGAAUCUACGUGUCCGAUGAUCACAGUGUUGAUAUGAGUCUUUUCCUUUCUCGUUCUGGCUUAUAGGUAGGGGUAGUUUUCACGAUACCUGUGUUCUG
rnacentral:lncRNA from 1 species